rnacentral:lncRNA from 1 species
GAACAGGUCUAACAGAGGUCUGUCCAUCCGUGCAGAGAUGCCGUUGUCUUUGAUAGUGGUACCGCGGUAGUCUAACUGGUGUGGGUCCCUCUAGGAGCAACACGUCCACUCCAAUGAAGUAUCUGUCGCUAGAGAAUCACACCUUGACAAGCCAUUGAGUCUAGACAUUACCGCACAGCCCAAUUACCCUCUAAAAUGACCGUACGGAUCAAUAACGAACAGCAUUGAAUCAGAAUCGAAUGAAUCAAAUGGAUGCUAUUGACAUUGUUUACAACAUUUCGUUUUUUAUUUUUUUAUUAUACAAUCUCACCAAAACGACAUAAUUAGUUAGAUCUAUUAGCGAAUAACGCGCUAGAAAAAUAAACAACCAUUCAAUAAUAUCGAGUCUCUCGGAGGAUUGUUCUUCUGGAGAUAUUACAGAUGCAUGAAUGAAUGCGUUUAACAACUUAACCGGUGGGGCGGAAAUGAGAAGAGCACCUGGUAGUGUGUUCAGACAGACGGUCAGGUGCAGAGUACAUCCGGACCCACAGCGACGCUUAGUGGAGAAGUUUAGGGAACUGCAGACGAGGUUGUGGAAGCUGGUUAGUUUCUAUAGCAACCUUCCAGACUGUUCUCUUCUGAGGGGGGGGGGGGGGAGAGAUGUUAUUGUCUGAUGUUAAAUAGAACUAGAGGACGGAAGGAUUGACUGACGACCUGAUUUGACAGGUGUUUUCAUUGUACCCGAUUCAUGCUGCUGCACAGCACUGACUUUGAGUUAUGUAGAAAUAUAAUUUAAAUCAUAAGGAAAAUGAUUUGGGCAGCUAUUUUCACGUACUGGGAUGAAUGGUUAUAUAUGGUGUAGUCUAGACAGGCAGAGAAAUGAGAGACAGACAGAGACCUAAUACUGCAGGUAGAAAUGUAUUGAUAUCAGAAUCAAUAGAAACAUAUAUUGUCUCUGAUUAAAAAAAACUCCCCUGAAUCCGAGGCAGAAAGAUAAACAGCUUAUUGGCCACUUAUAUCAACAGCGUCAUUAUACAAGUCACCUAGCGUUCCAGGCCGACUCCAUUUCAGGUCACCUUGUCUUCUGAUGCCAUAUGACAUCACCAUAUCACUUUGCUACAGUGGACUACUACCUGAACCCUGCAGAUCCCCCUCCAAUCCCCCUCCGUUGCCCUCCAAACCCCCUCCAAUCCCCUCCAUCCCCC